UACGUAGGGGGCAAGCGUUGUCCGGAAUCAUUGGGCGUAAAGAGCGUGUAGGCGGCCCGUUAAGUCUGCUGUGAAAGCCCAGGGCUCAACCCUGGGAUGCCGGUGGAUACUGUCGGGCUCGAGUCCGGAAGAGGAGAGUGGAAUUCCUGGUGUAGCGGUGAAAUGCGCAGAUAUCAGGAAGAACACCCGUGGCGAAGGCGGCUCUCUGGGACGGUACUGACGCUGAGACGCGAAAGCGUGGGGAGCGAACAGG
rnacentral:rRNA from 1 species